CAGAGAUUGAACCUGGGCCUCCGCGACCCUGUCCAGGAGCUCACCAGGAGUCACCGCCUUGCAACAAAAGACACUCCUGGCACCUGGGAAAUGACAAGUGUUUCAGGAGCCCCGUGGCAGGCACGAGGGGCCAAAACCAGAAUAUGAUUUCACGGGAGCAGAGCCAGCUUUGACCCAGACCUGCUGGCCCCAGAGUCCACUUCACAGCGUCCCCAUCCCCCUGCCGUCCAUUUCCCCUGACAGGAUGAACCUGAACCCCGGGAGACGCCAGGACGCUCAUGUGAGCCUUGCUGUUUGGACUGGUGCCUUCCCAAGACUCUGCCCGUGCCCACGAGGGGCGGGAGAAACUGAGCAAGUUCCAGGUACAUCAUCUGACCAGGACCUUAAAGCGGCUCAUAAAAAUAUUGCCAUGUGUAGCACAUGGGGUUGACAUGCUGGAUGGUGAAGAGGAGGAAACGACGUAAGGUGGACUCGGGAGGCCCUCGGGAUCCAGAACCGCCUCCCCCCACCCCCUCCACCCGCUCCCUGCUGCCCCCGCUCCAGUGGCCACGAAUUGGAUCAUACGCGUGAGGCUGCGUGUGCUUGGUGGUGUAGGAGGCAGUGACCUUCACCAAGGAGGAGCUGGGGCUGCUGGACCCCACGCAGAGGAGGCUGUAU